rnacentral:rRNA from 1 species
CAGUCGCCGCGGUAAUACGAAGGGGGCUAGCGUUGUUCGGAUUUACUGGGCGUAAAGCGCACGUAGGCGGACUUUUAAGUCAGGGGUGAAAUCCCGGGGCUCAACCCCGGAACUGCCUUUGAUGCUGGAAGUCUUGAGUAUGGUAGAGGUGAGUGGAAUUCCGAGUGUAGAGGUGAAAUUCGUAGAUAUUCGGAGGAACACCAGUGGCGAAGGCGGCUCACUGGACCAUUACUGACGCUGAGGUGCGAAAGCGUGGGGAGCAAACAGGAUUAGAUACCCGUGUAGUCCCUGUCUCUUAUAC